GGUAGACUUCCGCAUGGUCUCGGGGAUGUAGCGGGAGAAAAUUUCCUUUCUACACUCUUAAAUUAGGCCAAACUUACGCCGGUCAUAGAUCGUUCACCCGUUGUCAGCAUACUUGAUCUUGAUGAGAAGAAUAAAGUUAACACAAUUCCAUAAUGUCUUAACUGCUGAUAUGUCUCUUCCGGGGUGACACAGUAUUGGAUCAAAGGAACAUUGCUGUUAUCUCCGAAACUAGCAAUGGUCAUAAUGGCGGUCCUCGCCCUCACGACACUGGCCAGCGUUCACACAACUUCUCCCAAUGUUCGGGUCAAGAGAAGGCCUGUAGAUCAACCACAUAAAGGAAUAUGCUCCAACUUCUGGUGGGGUGGAAUUUCUAAAGUUCACUUUUACACCUGCUGUAACAACCUGAAUGAAGGUCCUUAUCCCUAUUGCGAUGGUCGUACCUAUCACAGAGCAUCUAAUGGAUCCUAUUGUAAACCUGGUGGGUUUGACGGCGGGAAUGGUGAACAACA